UACGUAGGGUGCGAGCGUUAAUCGGAAUUACUGGGCGUAAAGCGUGCGCAGGCGGUUAGGAAAGAUAGAUGUGAAAUCCCUGGGCUUAACCUAGGAAUUGCAUUUGUGACUACCUGACUGGAGUACGGUAGAGGGGAGUGGAAUUCCGCGUGUAGCAGUGAAAUGCGUAGAUAUGCGGAGGAACACCGAUGGCGAAGGCAGCUCCCUGGACCUGUACUGACGCUCAUGCACGAAAGCGUGGGGAGCAAAC
rnacentral:rRNA from 1 species